CGAAGAGAGAAAUUCAUUCGCGUUUCGACGUCGGCGUCGGACGGAGUCGAGUGACGAAAUUCGUCGUUUUUCGGAACGUGCGAGUUUUGCACCCUUCGUUCUUCGAACCGACGACGAACGCGUGCACUUUUCUCUUGGUAGGACGUCGCGAUUCGUUGGGUGUCGGUCUACGACUUGCGGUGGAGCCCGUUCGUCGUCUAGUACGUUACGUGCGGACCCGCUAGUUCUGACCGACUCGCUCGACGAUAUACGAAAGGUCGGAGGCCGCUCGUUUCGAAGCGUUCGACUCGUCGCAAGCGCGCCACGUGCGUCGGCACGCGGACCUAGAGCCGCGUUCGACCUCUGGCGACUGUUGGCGACGAUGUUCUCGGACAGACCUCUUUUUUUCGUUUAUCGAAAAGAUGACCGAUCGGCGACGCUAUAGCUUUGGGUACUUUCAGGACCCGUCUUGAAACACGGACCAAGGAGUCUAGCAUGUACGCGAGUCAUUGGGAAUCACUAAACCUAAAGGCGUAAUGAAAGUAAAGAUCUUCCUCGCGAAGAUCGAGGGAAGACGGGCGUGUGAGUUCGUUAAAAAACCACCGUUCUGCAUUCCCGGGGCGUCUCGUUCACAUCGCGUGAAGAGGCGCACCAAGAGCGUACACGCUGGGACCCGAAAGAUGGUGAACUAUGCCUG
rnacentral:rRNA from 1 species